rnacentral:rRNA from 1 species
GAAACACGGACCAAGGAGUUCAACUGGAUUGCGAGUCGUAGAGUUUCUCACAAAACUCCUCACGGCGAAGCGAAAGCAACAUAGUGCCAUGUAAGCAUUCUCUUUAUGCUUACUGCAGCACAGGCUGAUUACGUAUAUGCAUAGAGCCUUCUGGUUGUGUGCAUACUUUCACUUUUCAUUACUUUUGUAAUGCAUUUGUAAAAGACUAAUCACGCUGAAGAGCACUUUAGUUGAGACCCGAAAGAUGGUGAACUAUGCUCGGACAUGGUGAAGCCAGGUGAAAACUUGGUGGAAGCUUGCGUUGUGCGGAACUGACGUGCAAAUCGUUGCCGCCUGACCUGAGUAUAGGGGCGAAAGACUCAUCGAACCAUCUAGUAGCUGGUUCCCUCCGAAGUUUCCCUCAGGAUAGCUCGAAUUUUUUUCAUUUUUCUAUUGUUCACUCAUUAGCAACGAGUAACACAAGGGUAAAGCAAUGAGACGCGGUAUCUGUGGGUCUUAUCCUAAUGACCUCGGCCUUCUCUCAAACUUUAAAUCUGUGCGAUUACGUGUACUUACUUUGAAUGUGUGUAUGUAUCCUUUUUACCGAGGAUAUAUGCUUCACAGCGAAGUCACGCGUUAUAUUGUAUCUAAAAUUCGUAGUGGGCCAUUUCUGGUAAGCAGAACUGGCGAUGAGGGAUUCAACCUGACGUUCUCAAGAUAAGCCGGGCUUAAUCUUAUCUGCUCCAACCUUCCGAUAAACGCGA